GCCGAUGUGGUGGAAUGGCAGACACGCCGCACUCAAAAUGCGGUGCCGAGAGGCUUGCCGGUUCGAGUCCGGCCAUCGGUA
rnacentral:tRNA from 1 species